CUCCAGCUGAUGGGUCCCAAAUAGGACGAAACGCGCAUCAAACCGGAU
rfam:Schistosoma mattheei strain Denwood, Zambia genome assembly, scaffold: SMTD_scaffold0000379